CCGGCACGGGUGAGUAACACGUAUGCAAUCCACCUGUAACAGGGGGAUAACCCGGAGAAAUCCGGACUAAUACCCCAUAAUAUGGGCGCUCCGCAUGGAGAGCCCAUUAAAGAGAGCAAUUUUGGUUACAGACGAGCAUGCGCUCCAUUAGCUAGUUGGCGGGGUAACGGCCCACCAAAGCGACGAUGGAUAGGGGUUCUGAGAGGAAGGUCCCCCACAUUGGAACUGAGACACGGUCCAA
rnacentral:rRNA from 1 species